GCUAUGGUAACACAUAGAGGGUUGGCAGCAAAGCACAAGCGCACAAGCGUUGAAUGAUGGCUCUUGGUGGAAGGUCUGUCCUUUCCCAUUCUCAAGCCGAGUUUCCCCCCACAGUGUGACACAGUUUUUCCCGGACCUCGGUGGAUGGAAAACCUGAAACCGUCGCCGAGGUCCUUUUUAACCAACCCAGGGGCUAAAUUGAGGAAGUGAAGCAAAGGAAAGAAGAAAAAAAACUAACCUUAUCGUACGUGUGUGUACUUCUUAGCGAGGGAACGUGGACCGGGCCGAGCGCGAUGACAGCAGGGACACGUCGCGCAACGUCCAAUGUGUGGAAAGUUCUUCCCGAGCAAAUGGCCCAGAAUUGGAUGCGGUGAGGCUCAAGUGAGGUGGAAGAAGCGAUCGGAGAAGAAAAAAAGAGCGUACACGCACAAAUGAAUGGUACCACACCGGUGUGCGGCUCGGAUGACGAUGACGGGACCGAGUGAAGUGUUGUUUAUUUUACCGCUUCGAGUGGUUCGAUGUGCAGUUGGGAAAAGAUUAGAAUCCCUCAAGAACCUCGUGCUCUAUUCGCAUGCGGGACUCCCAGUUACGCUUCUUCAAUGUUUCUGUGUGUGUGUGUGUGUGUCCCCGAGACCUCCGAAGCCUACGCUGCUGAUGGGUUUCGCAUGUUUGCUAUCUAUGCCCGGCACCCGAAACCUGGGCUCUCUCGCGAAGCCCCCUAGAAUUCCCAUCAAAACGGAGGGAUUCUAGGCACCAAAAUCGCGCGCGUGCACACACACACGUAGCGAACGGUCUGAAAAACCGGGGGGAAAAAAGAUAAUCCCAUCGAAAACAUCUUCCAACAUUUCCCAGCCGUCCGAGGCGAGGCAUGGUUUGCAUUGAUUAAGUGUUUCUUUUCAAAAACCUACGUCCCUCGCUUCCGAAGGAUUUAAGGCCGACUGUUGUGAAGUAUGAACAAAAAGGUCGGGCGAAAAAAUAUAAACCCCGCUGGAAGCACAAAUCGAUUGCAUGCCGUAUAAUGGCGGCACAAAGCGGCAUUAAACCGCUCCGGUGCCGGUAUGUUUGGCUCCGGUAUGUUUGGCCCACGCGUAUACCUCGGCGUAUGUGUGGAACUUCGUUUACUCGCUCGCAAUUAGAACCCGAAAGAAGGCCCAGGCGAGUAAACGGCUUGUUUCGCGCGUUUGUUUGAUGUUAAUGUGGUUGGUAUGUGCGGAGGUGCGUGGUGCGUAAGAAAGUGCGUAAAGCACGUGCGAAAGCUUCCAGCCAGCAGCCAUUGGUAGUAUGUGGCGGGGAUAGAGCCGGAAUGUUUGAAAUUGAAUUAAUGUAAAUGCCUGCUGACUGUGUACGAUGUGUGCGGUAUGCUGGGCGCCGCUUUGUAAAUGCCAAUCAUUUACAAAACGAGCUUAAGAAGGGUGUUCCGAAUCUUGCCCGCGUAAUGAUGGGUGCCGUAGCCAAGGAGCUGAUAAGCACAUGUGCUGGGAGGUCUUUGAGCAGUUGAUGACACUGGUUUAAUUUUGCGCUUUCAAAGGGAGAUAGCAUUUGGACUGUAGAAAGCAUUUUGGUACCUUUCGAAAUUUGGGAGUAUAAUUUUUGAAAGCUAAGUACUAUUCCUUAAAACAAAAGUCAUUGCAUUUAAUAAUGAUAGAUGGAAUUCGUAUGCUCCAUGCAUAGAAGACGAUCUCCCCGACAUCUGAUCAUUUUUAAAGCUAUUCUCACUUUUUGUUCAAUUUGGAGUUUAGAUUUGAUCCAUUAAUUACUCAGGUGGCCUACACCGGACUCGUGGUACAGUCGUUAAGUCGAAUGACUUAAUAACAUGCCCGUCAUGGGCUCAAGCCUAGAAUGGACCGUCCCUCCGUAGUAUGCAUUUUUGACUAUCAGGCUGCUAAUGAUUUAAGUCUCGAAAGCCUGUGUAAACCGGCAUGUAUGGCUGCGUAGGACGUUACGUCAAAUAGAAGAACAAGAAGGCCUAUGUCAGAGUAAAAUUGUUUUUUCAUCCUUGAACGUUUCUCAUUGGACAACUUGAUUGCACUUUCAUUGCAUUGGACAAGUGGAAAU